GACGAACGCUGGCGGCGCGCCUAACACAUGCCAGUCGAACGAGCGAGAGAGAGCUUGCUUUCUUGAGCGAGUGGCGAACGGGUGAGUAACGCGUGAGGAACCUGCCUCAAAGAGGGGGACAACAGUUGGAAACGACUGCUAAUACCGCAUAAGCCCACGGUGCCGCAUGGCACAGAGGGAAAAGGAGCAAUCCGCUUUGAGAUGGCCUCGCGUCCGAUUAGCUAGUUGGUGAGGUAACGGCCCACCAAGGCGACGAUCGGUAGCCGGACUGAGAGGUUGAACGGCCACAUUGGGACUGAGACACGGCCCAGACUCCUACGGGAGGCAGCAGUGGGGAAUAUUGCACAAUGGGGGAAACCCUGAUGCAGCGACGCUGCGUGGAGGAAGAAGGUCUUCGGAUUGUAAACUCCUGUUGUUGGGGAAGAUAAUGACGGUACCCAACAAGGAAGUGACGGCUAACUACGUG
rnacentral:rRNA from 1 species